CGAUGCCUGAUGGAGCACGCCGCGUGUGUGAUGAAGGCUUUCGGGUCGUAAAGCACUGUUGUAUGGGAAGAAAUGCUAAGGUAGGGAAUGAUCUUAGUUUGACGGUACCAUACCAGAAAGGGACGGCUAAAUACGUGCCAGCAGCCGCGGUAAUACGUAUGUCCCGAGCGUUAUCCGGAUUUAUUGGGCGUAAAGCGAGCGCAGACGGUUGAUUAAGUCUGAUGUGAAAGCCCGGAGCUCAACUCCGGAAUGGCAUUGGAAACUGGUUAACUUGAGUGUUGUAGAGGUAAGUGGAACUCCAUGUGUAGCGGUGAAAUC
rnacentral:rRNA from 1 species